rnacentral:rRNA from 1 species
UACGUAGGGUGCAAGCGUUGUCCGGAAUCAUUGGGCGUAAAGCGCGCGCAGGCGGAUCAGCAAGUCAGAUGUGAAAUCUCGGAGCUCAACUCCGAAACUGCGUCUGAAACUGCUAGUCUAGAAUGUCGGAGGGGGCAGGGGAAUUUCACGUGUAGGGGUAAAAUCCGUAGAGAUGUGAAGGAACACCGGAGGCGAAGGCGCCUGCCUGGACGACUAUUGACGCUGAGGCGCGAAAGCGUGGGGAGCAAACAGG